rnacentral:rRNA from 1 species
UAAUACGAAGGACCCGAGCGUUAUCCGGAUUUAUUGGGUUUAAAGGGUGCGUAGGCGGACUAGUAAGUCAGUGGUGAAAGCCCAUCGCUUAACGGUGGAACUGCCAUUGAUACUGCUAGUCUUGAGUAUGGUUGAGGUGGGCGGAAUGUGUCAUGUAGCGGUGAAAUGCUUAGAUAUGACCCAGAACACCAAUUGCGAAGGCAGCUCGCUAAGCCAUAACUGACGCUGAGGCACGAAAGCGUGGGGAGCAAACAGGAUUAGAUACCCUGGUAGUCCACGCCCUAAACUAUGAUAACUCGUUGUUGGCGAUACACAGUCAGCGACUAAGCGAAAGCAUUAAGUUAUCCACCUGGGAAGUACGACCGCAAGGUUG